UGAGGAGAGAGAGAAGGACACUGGCUCUAAAAUGAGUUCUCCGUCUUCUGAAUCAAGCUGUGAUCAACCCAUGAAGAACCUACCCUUUGCUUUUACUGAUGCAACACUGACUGACCCCAGCAGGUGGAAGAGGCUGAGAUCAGAGUCUCCAGAACCCAGUGGUGUGUCUGUGAAGAGUAAUGCAUCUAUGAUGUAUCCCCCUGCACUCUGUGAGGCAACAGUGACCUCUGACCUCAGCAGGUGGAAGAGGCUGAGAUCAGAGUCUCCAGAACCCAGUGGUGUGUCUGUGAAGAGUAAUGCAUCUAUGAUGUAUCCCCCUGCACUCCGUGAGGCAACAGUGACCUCUGA